GGAUGCAAUGCAGAAAGUACUUUUUUAUGUGUGAGUUUAAGAUUUAUACUGUUAUAUCCCUUGCUUCCAUCCUCAUGAAUGUAAUUAUUAACGUAGGCACAGUAUUUAGCAGCUCUACGCCUUUGCUAAAUAAUACUAUAUGAUGAUAUUACAAACUAAUUCUGUGCAAUAUCAUCAUGCUUUUGCUUCCAUCCUCAUGGACGUAUUUAUAAUUGCAGUUUUUCUGUUCACAAAUGUCACUCCUUCGGACUAGGCUAUUUUGGUUGCAAAUUUCUGAGAUAGUUUUAUGUUUCGCUCAUUUGAUUUCGGCAGCGAGGAUUUUGUUUGUACAAAUGCUAUUAUUUACUAUAUGAAACUAGCUUAUUCUAGAUUGCAUAUAAUUGAUUCUUAUCGAUCAUGCAUUAAAAUAUUUGUGAUCAGGGGCUAGUUUGCAUUGAAAUAAGUAAAUUUUUAUGCUCAAGAAGUAUGUACUAGUUUCUGUCAUUAAUUUUCACAUCCUGAUAAAAAUAAUAAAGAAUGGGUCUAAUCUUCUAGCUGGAGUUAUUUCAUGAUUGUGAAUUCACGACUCUGUAUACUUGUAGAACUGAUCCUUGUGUAAGUUUUGUAUGUAGAAAUUGAUGUUUUUUCCCAUGUAGAUAGUUGCUGCUCAUUAUCAUACUGACAUUCUCAUAAACCUCACAUACUCUUGAAAAUUUCUUAUGAUAAAUGAAUUAGAUUUAUGUAGUCAUAUAUAUACUUUGUUUCAUUAAGCAUGGAUUGUGCUGCCAAUUAAUUAAUCCGUUAUGCCAUCUUCUUUCCGUUUUCCUGUGGUGCUCCUCGGCAAACUCAGCCUCAGGCAUCAGAGAUGAGCUCCCUCCUGAGUUGUGGAGUCUGUGGUUUUCUAUUUUUAUCAAGAGUUUAUACUGCUUGUCCGGGAGAAGUAAUUGUUUCAAUUCAUUGCAAAACCCGGUGAUUUUUAGGUGCUCCUUGUUGGAUCAUAUUAGUUCCUGUUCCAAACCUUGAUUUUGAGGCUGAGGAGCUCGCGAUCAUUGCAUCCUGGUGGAGCAUAGACUUAGAUGGCUGCCAUCAUGGUUGCGUCCCAGCUGGACUUCUUCAUUGAUAGGAAAUUGUCAUGCAAAUUCUUAAUUCCAUUCAGUUUUAUGAAACCAAGCCUCAAGAAGUGUAAUCUGCUAGUGAUGUUCCCUUUUUUUAACGCUUGUAAUACUGUACAAGUGAUGUCAGUACACACGGCACUUGUGCCAUUAUUGGUGACCAAAAGGCUAAUUCGAUGCUUGGUUGCAAGUAAUUUCA